UACGUAGGGUGCGAGCGUUAAUCGGAAUUACUGGGCGUAAAGCGUGCGCAGGCGGUUCGUUAAGUCAGAUGUGAAAGCCCCGGGCUCAACCUGGGAACUGCAUUUGAAACUGGCGGGCUUGAGUAUGGCAGAGGGGGGUGGAAUUCCGCGUGUAGCAGUGAAAUGCGUAGAGAUGCGGAGGAACACCGAUGGCGAAGGCAGCCCCCUGGGCCAAUACUGACGCUGAGGUGCGAAAGCGUGGGGAGCAAACGGG
rnacentral:rRNA from 1 species